CCCCGUUAGAAUAUACUAUGUAAAAUCUGAAUACAUCUAUCUACAUAUUUAUUAAGAUGUAUCUAUUGAGACACAGCUGGUUGAAUUUAAUAAACAAUAAUCCUUCUCAUGUGCAGGGAAUCAUAUGGAUUUUCUUCUGUGUCUGCAUAAACUUUGUACCCAUUGAUACUUCUAUAACUGUUCUCAUUUAGUAUUGUUAAUUACUUUGAGCAUGAAUUUGGUGAUAAGAGAGGAAAUCUCUAAACUGCUGCCUGUAAAAGGCCAAUCACUUUCACUUGCAUGCAAUUUGAAAUGUUUUUAUGUAACAUUUUUAAGCCUCCCAAUAGGUGAAUUAAUCUCAGUAACAGGCUAUAGUUGUUUUCAUAUCGUAUUGGUAGCCGUGUAUUUAAAAAAAACACUUGGUUGCAUGCUUUUAUUUAAAAAUACAAGGAGUAUGGUAACAUCACAACUAUGUGUUAAGGACCUGGCAGGUCUCUUGGGCUUUUAGGGAGUAUAGAAAGUAAUUAAAAGGAAUAAGAGGUGCUAAGAAGGAGUGGAGUUAUUUCUUUAUGCUGCUCUUCACAACAAGGAUGUUGUGGGCAUUUUAUUAUUUUCAAAUAAUGUUGAUUGAAUGUUAUCUGAUUAUGGGAUUAGAGUGGCAAAAGACUGAAUGCUGGAAUGAAGUGCUAAAGACUCGUAAGUCGGCAGGACUCCAUGCUAUUCAUUCCUUUAGUGGUUCUAAAGGACGAAGUGGCUGAUCUGCUAAGAAGAAUGCAUCUCAUUAGGAUGAAAUGCUGUGCCAGAAGACCGGAAGCUGUCAAGUGCUGUACAUACUGUACUUCUAAACUGAACACAAAGAGCAGAACUGGAAUUUGCAGACCAAGGACUCUUAUUUUAAUGCUACUUAAGUAGCUUUGAAUUCUGCAUGGAUAGUCUAGUAGUUCUGUGAGAACAAGAUACAACAGCUUUCUAUGCAGUUGUAUCUUAGAGGUAAUGAAAAAUACCAGCUGCAGCUGGGGUACUUGUCAUGUGUCUGUUGCCUGUGUGGUUUUUUUUCCCAUAAUAACAUGGGCAUAGGCUGCAGUCUGUACUUCAGUUUGGUCUGUUUGUGGGUUGGUCUUCUAUAUCUGUCUGCCCAGUACUUGGACUUCUGAAAUCCCUGAAUUCUUAUUAAACUGUAAAUGACUUUUCAGUUUUCCUUUUUGAUAAAGUUUGAAAUCAGGUAGUGGAUUUGAAAGUUGGAAAAGGCCAGUCCUAACCUAAGCAGACACGUUUAACUGCAUUAAUCUCUUCUGUGUUUAGCAGUCUAAACAAUUACUAAGUUGCUUGUGUUAUUAGUAGACAAGAGAGGGAUGGACCUCUAUACUGAUACACUCACACACCCUGUUUAGUUCAUCCCACCUUAAACUUGCAGUGUAUGGCCUUUGGCAAGAAAUUGUACCCCAUGCGAUUUGGUGAGGCUUUGUAAAUCGUCAUUUUUGAUGCCAUUGUGGGAGUGAUGACCAGUGAUGCAGAGGUGGAACUGAAAACUAAAGCACUCCAGUAGUAUCCUAUGCUGCUUUCAGUGGCAGAGCUGUGAUUUACCUUGUAAUUUGCACUCAGGUGGCAACAGCAGUUUCUUAAGUACUGACAUUUGUAGCUGCAAUUAGCUGUGUCAUCUUGUCCCCUCACUUUCCCUCCUGCUGUAUUAGCACAGCGAUUUGUGCCAUCAUGCAGUGACUGGAAUCAGAAAAUUGAUCCUGACUUGGACAGGGGUCUGUGGCAAGCAGCAAUUUCUAACCCAAGCUAGUUCCUCACUCUAGUCUAGUGGGUGGCUCCAUGAGGAGAUUGGGAUUGUGACCUAAGGAUCAGGACAAGCCAUAGGAUGGUCCUCUCUCUUUGAACUGGCAUUUUACCAGAAUAGAUGCUCAUCAGAUUAUGCCUCUAGAAUCUGUGACUCAUCUUGCCCUCAAGUAAGCAUCCAAAGUAAAAUACUGAAUACAUUCUGUAAAAUCAGAGAAAGUUGUGAGAAACUUGAAGACAGUCUUCUAAAGCUGUCUGUAUUAGCAUGAUGAUGGUAGAUGAUAUUUGGUGUUCUUAGCUACAAAAUAUUUCAUGCUGAAGGGAGUAACUUGAACUACUUGAAGAUAAUUCUAUAUUACAAGCAAAUGUUCUUCAAAACUACGUGUAUCAUUAUAGAUAUCCAAGUGAAAGCCUCUUUGAAGAGAAGAAAUAUAUAAUGUAUAAGAAACAUCCCUAAACUGUAUUAAAGGUGCUCUGCAGUAGCAUUGAAUGGAAGUUCCGUAUCUGGGCAUCUCUGCUUAGAUUAACUGUCUAUAUGGUUUAAUGAAUUCAUUUAUACUUUAUCAAUCACUGCAUAUACAUAUCCUUUGUGUUUUAAAUGCUAUUGUUAAGUAACAAGUUCUUGAAAAGCAGAUAAAGUGUUUUCAGUAACUUUACACAAAAUAAAGUUGCUGUAUUUCUUGCUUUCAGUUCAAUUACUUCAGAUGAUCUGUAAAUUUUCAAUAAUGGCAAUACAUUCAUUCUGCCAUUUGGAGGAGCCUGUGCCACAGAAUAAUGAUCUGAAGAAAGCUCACUCAUUUGCAAGGAAGAGUCUUCAUUUGGGAAUUAGCACUGAUGCAGCACAAGGGUGCUUUUUCAAGUACAGACUUUUUCAGCAGAAGUGUUGUUUUCCUAACACAACCUCUGGUACAAGGAUAAAAUUGGGUUUUUGUCAAAGAACAGAGUCCUGUAUCUGAAGAGUAAGAAGGUCCUUGACAUUCAGUGGGAUGGCAAUCUCAGAAGUGACUACUGGGGACUCCCAAGCUACAGAUCAGUGCAGCUGGAGUUGGCAGAUACCUUUUCAAACAACCAAGCAAAGUGCAGGUGUGGGUUGCUUGUCAGAAAUCCAUUCCGAAGCUUGAGUGCAAAAGAAGCAGGGUACUAAUGAUGAAUACGAAUGGAUAUCUUGAGGAUAACAAUGGAUCUUCAAAAGCAGUGGCAUUCUGGUCCUGGUCCUGCAACUGGAUUUAUUUAAAUGUACCUCGAUAGCCUGGGGGCCUGAUGAAGUUCAUGGGACUCUGGCGACUGCAGAUUCUCACUCUGAAGAUCUGAUUGUAGGCCUGAACCUAAAUUUCUAUUUCGUUCUCCUGUCUAUUUCCUCCUUAAAUGAUGAAAAUUAUCCUUUAAAAUGGUGUUGUCUUUGAGUCUCAUGUACAUCCACUUUAGUAGUGUUCCAACACUGUGUUCCUGUGAUGUUGUCAGACAUUGUUAAAUUAUUUCUGUUCUGUUGAGUGCCUAAACCUCAUGAUUUCUCUGAUUAUUGUGUUAGAUCUUUCUGUUUAGUGUCUUUCUACCUAAAAUGAAGGAGAUCAUCACCUCCACCACCUUGUGUUUUCAAUCAUUGUGGUAUUUCUCUUAACUCAGAUUUUUAAGUCAGAGUAAUUGUUGAAACUGUUCAGGUUGUUUUUAAAGAUAUAGGUAGAUUUGUUUCUUGCUGGACACAAAGUAUAAUAUUUUAUUUUGCAAACUUGGUAGGCUAGUAUUACUGAAAGCUUUCAAUAUGAUGAUACUCUGAUGUAAUAAAAUAAGUAGGAAAAGACCCUUUUACUAGCUCUCCUGUUGCUUUUCUAUUCCUGUGGCUGUGGUUACACAACAUCAGAGUGUUGUGCAAAAAAAAGUGAAGAUAUUUUUAUUUUUUGUGAGUCAGUGUAUACCUUUUGACAAUAAGCACUGUUCUCUCUCCUAUUCCAUGUUGCAGUUUCACUGAAUAAUAUGCCCUGGUAGAACCUAUAGAAAGGACUCUGAAAAUCACAUGUAGAGUGUGAUCACAAAUAGAGUGUAAAAGGAAAAAUAGAUGUGUUCUGUUUUUAUACAUGUUGGUAUAUAAGUUGUAUAUAUUUUUAAAGCAAGUAUGUAGCAGUGUAUGAUAAUUCAUAUAUUAAAAGAGCCAAAACUUCCUUUCUAUAUA